rnacentral:rRNA from 1 species
GGAAACAGGUGCUAAUACCGUAUAACACUAUUUUCCGCAUGGAAGAAAGUUGAAAGGCGCUUUUGCGUCACUGAUGGAUGGACCCGCGGUGCAUUAGCUAGUUGGUGAGGUAACGGCUCACCAAGGCCACGAUGCAUAGCCGACCUGAGAGGGUGAUCGGCCACACUGGGACUGAGACACGGCCCAGACUCCUACGGGAGGCAGCAGUAGGGAAUCUUCGGCAAUGGACGAAAGUCUGACCGAGCAACGCCGCGUGAGUGAAGAAGGUUUUCGGAUCGUAAAACUCUGUUGUUAGAGAAGAACAAGGAUGAGAGUAAAACGUUCAUCCCUUGACGGUAUCUAACCAGAAAGCCACGGCUAACUACGUGCCAGCAGCCGCGGUAAUACGUAGGUGGCAAGCGUUGUCCGGAUUUAUUGGGCGUAAAGCGAGCGCAGGCGGUUUCUUAAGUCUGAUGUGAAAGCCCCCGGCUCAACCGGGGAGGGUCAUUGGAAACUGGGAGACUUGAGUGCAGAAGAGGAGAGUGGAAUUCCAUGUGUAGCGGUGAAAUGCGUAGAUAUAUGGAGGAACACCAGUGGCGAAGGCGGCUCUCUGGUCUGUAACUGACGCUGAGGCUCGAAAGCGUGGGGAGCGAACAGGAUUAGAUACCCUGGUAGUCCACGCCGUAAACGAU